GGAUAAUCUACCCUUAGGACCGGGAUAACCCUGGGAAACUGGGGCUAAUACUGGAUAGGCAAUUUUUCCUGCAAUGGUUUUUUGUUUAAAUGUUUUUUCGCCUAAGGAUGAGUCUGCGGCCGAUUAGGUAGUUGGUUAGGUAAUGGCUUACCAAGCCGUUGAUCGGUACGGGUUGUGAGAGCAAGAGCCCGGAGAUGGAACCUGAGACAAGGUUCCAGGCCCUACGGGGUGCAGCAGGCGCGAAACCUCCGCAAUGUGAGAAAUCGCGACGGGGGGAUCCCAAGUGCCAUUCUUAACGGGAUGGCUUUUCAUUAGUGUAAAGAGCUUUUGGAAUAAGAGCUGGGCAAGACCGGUGCCAGCCGCCGCGGUAACACCGGCAGCUCUAGUGGUAACAAUUUUUAUUGGGCCUAAAGCGUCCGUAGCCGGUUUAAUAAGUCUCUGGUGAAAUCCUGUAGCUUAACUGUGGGAAUUGCUGGAGAUACUAUUAGACUUGAGACCGGGAGAGGUUAGAGGUACUCCCAGGGUAGAGGUGAAAUUCUGUAAUCCUGGGAGGACCGCCUGUUGCGAAGGCGUCUAACUGGAACGGUUCUGACGGUGAGGGACGAAAGUUAGGGGCGCGAACCGGAUUAGAUACCCGGGUAGUCCUAACUGUAAACGAUGCGGACUUGGUGUUGGGGUGGCUUUGAGCCGCUCCAGUGCCGAAAGGAAGCUGUUAAGUCCGCCGCCUGGGAAGUACGGUCGCAAGACUGAAACUUAA
rnacentral:rRNA from 1 species